rnacentral:rRNA from 1 species
UACGUAGGCAGCAAGCGUUGUUCGGAGUUACUGGGCGUAAAGGGUGCGUAGGCGGUUGUUUAAGUUUGGUGUGAAAUCUCCCGGCUCAACCGGGAGGGUGCGCCGAAUACUGAAUGACUAGAGUGCGGGAGAGGAGGGUGGAAUUCCUGGUGUAGCGGUGAAAUGCGUAGAUAUCAGGAGGAACACCGGUGGUGUAGACGGCUCUCUGGACCGUAACUGACGCUGAGGCACGAAAGCGUGGGUAGCAAACAGG